rnacentral:lncRNA from 1 species
AUGAAAAGCAAUAGUAAAUACGAAGCAGGACUUAGAACCGCCGACGACCAGAAGCCUUGCCCUCUCGAAGUUGACCUGACGGUGCAGCAAAUUUUGCCAACCUGCCAGAGAAGCAGCAACUCGAGGAAAAGCAAGCUGCGUGGUUUCUCACCCGGCAAGAAAGCGCUAAAACCCCUUUGGGCCGCGGACCCGCAGCCAAGGUCCCGACCCGAGAUUCCCGAGGCCCUCGGUGGGUGGAGCGAGCUCCGGCAGCAACGCCCAGCCGCGGACGGGCGGGACCGUUCGAAUCUACCCACUGGGUCCGCAGGCCUCCCUCCGCUCCAGCCUCUCCGCCUCGGGAGGCGGCAGGGUGCGCCGGGGCGCGGGGCUUGCGUGCGAGGGCCCCUCGGGCAGAGCCGGCGCGCGGUGGUCCGCAGCCGGGACGGGGCGCGCGGGCGGGCGGGCGCGCGGGCGGGCGGGCGCGCGGGCGGGGGGCCGCGCGGGCGGGCGGGCGCGCGGGGGGGGGGGGGGACGCGGCGCGCGCGCCCCCGCCCCGCCCCUCGCGGGCGCCGCAACCCUGCGCAGCGGGCCUGCGCGUGCUCGUGCCGACCCCUCCUUCGCGCUCCUCGCCUGCGGCCGCUCCGGCGCACGCGCGCGGCCUCGCGCAGGGCGGGGAGAGGCGGCGGCCCCCGGCGGCCGGCCCCGAACCUGUCAGACCCGGGGAGCCGGCCUGGAGCUGCGGGCGCGGCAGGCGCCAGGACGGCCCGGCCCUCCGCGCGGCCCCGGCCCGAGCUGUGCCCGGCGGGGGGCGGGGAGAUGAGCGGCGGCCCCGCGGCGGAGCCCCAGGUAGACGCGCCGCCCCCUCGCGGAGCCCCGGCGCCUCCGGGCCGGCCUGCGCUCCCGCCGCCCGGGGCUUCGGAACUUGUGGGCAGGGUCGGGGCGCCUUGGAUUUAUAACGUGUUUCGUUUUCCACAGGAUGGGGAGGGCCGCGCGGCAGUGCCCUCGGGAACUGGCGCUCCGGUGAAGUAG